GAAGGAGGAUGGGCCUUAGACAGACAUCACUCUUUAGAAUCCCUGCAACUUUGAGCAAGUUCGUGAAUCUCACUAAGGCUCAGUUUCCUCCAUAAAAUUAAUCAAUAUCAGGGCCUCUGCAUUGGACAACUCCAGAGGGCACCAUUGGGGUUAUACCUUGUGUUUGCCUAACCUUCAUUGCAGUGGGCAGGUGCAUGCUUUCUACAAUGUCCUAAGGUCUAAAGGGGUAGAGUUCUGUGUGUGGCAUUUUAGGCCUGGAAAGGAUGAGAGUCUACAAAACCAGAGAAAUACUGCAGAGCUCCUAAAGUCCUUGGAAUGUCCUAAGUGCAAAUGGUCAAACCCAGGAGGGAAUGGUAUGAACCUCUGGUUUACAGCCAUUGGUAAGAAGCACACAUGACAACCUGGACUUUCCAUCAACAUUUGAAGCGGGAGCAGUCUUGUGGGAUCAAGCUCUUAACCUGUGGGGUCUGCUACUAACUCUGAGAUCCCAGACCACCACCCAUGAUCCCAGGCUGGAGGAAGCAGCAGGCUAGCGGAAUUCAGGACCAAUGAGCCAGGAAAGAGGACCCAAUGCAGAGCUCACAUCCCACCCUCCUUCCCCCAUGACAAAGCACUGGCAAACCCUGCCAAAGAAGAAGCUUGGCUGCAAAGCAGUCUGGAACUGGACCCGGGAUAGAUUCACCAGGAGCUCACCACCACAGGGAAUGCUGCACUUUGACUGGACAGAAUGCAUCCUCCAUGCCCACAGAGCAUGUGCCCAGGAUGAAUCUCACUGUAUCCCAGUUCCUCAUGCUUGGCCCCAAACCUCUUUUUCACAGUAAUAAAGAAAACACACUUUACAAAAAGGC
rnacentral:lncRNA from 1 species